UGGGGAAUAUUGCACAAUGGGGGAAACCCUGAUGCAGCGACGCCGCGUGAGCGAUGAAGUAUUUCGGCGCGUAAAGCUCUAUCAGCAGGGAAGACAAACUGCCCCGGAAGGGGCAGCCGGACGGUACCUGACCAAGAAGCCCCGGCUAACUACGUGCCAGCAGCCGCGGUAAUACGUAGGGGGCAAGCGUUAUCCGGAUUUACUGGGUGUAAAGGGAGCGUAGACGGCAAGACAAGCCUGGAGUGAAAGGCGGGGGCCCAACCCCCGGACUGCUCUGGGAACUGUCUGGCUGGAGUGCAGGAGGGGUAAGUGGAAUUCCUAGUGUAGCGGUGAAAUGCGUAGAUAUUAGGAGGAACACCGGUGGCGAAGGCGGCUUACUGGACCGUAACUGACGUUGAGGCUCGAAAGCGUGGGGAGCAAACAGG
rnacentral:rRNA from 1 species